rnacentral:rRNA from 1 species
UACGGGGGGGGCAAGCGUUGUUCGGAAUUACUGGGCGUAAAGGGCGCGUAGGCGGCCUGCUAAGUCGAACGUGAAAUCCCCGGGCUCAACCCGGGAACUGCGUCCGAUACUGGUUGGCUUGAAUUCGGGAGAGGGAUGCGGAAUUCCAGGUGUAGCGGUGAAAUGCGUAGAUAUCUGGAGGAACACCGGUGGCGAAGGCGGCAUCCUGGACCGAUAUUGACGCUGAUGCGCGAAAGCCAGGGGAGCAAACGGG